UACGUAGGGUCCGAGCGUUGUCCGGAAUUACUGGGCGUAAAGAGCUCGUAGGUGGUUUGUCGCGUUGUUCGUGAAAACUCACAGCUCAACUGUGGGCGUGCGGGCGAUACGGGCAGACUGGAGUACUGCAGGGGAGACUGGAAUUCCUGGUGUAGCGGUGAAAUGCGCAGAUAUCAGGAGGAACACCGGUGGCGAAGGCGGUUCUCUGGGCAUUACCUGACGCUGAGGAGCGAAAGUGUGGGGAGCGAACAGG
rnacentral:rRNA from 1 species